CUCCUACUUGGUGAUGCUUGUGUCUCAUGCUGCUGUGCUGCAUCUAAGCUUAGCUGCAUGAUGUUGUAGGUGCAGGAAUUACUGUAGGUAGCUUUGAAUCCUUAUUAUGUAACCUAUGGAACUGUACCUUAUAGUUUUUCAUUUUAAAAGAUUCGUUUUAAGUAACCUGGUGCUGUGAGUGUGACUGCAUGAUCAGGCUGCAAGGCAAAGUGACUAAGUCCUCUUCUGCUCAUUUUGGAAUUGAGAGUUCAAGCCACUGUCUCUUCUUGAAAAGGAGAUACAGUUAUGUUCAUAACGUAAGUGUCACUUCCAACCUACUGGGUUGCUUCUCAGCUCUUGAACUGUACCUAGAGAUUCAUAGUUCUUCAAGAGAAGAAUCUCUGGAUGCACGUGUUUGCUAUGACAGUGUCUUCUAAACAAAGGCAAAGGGCCUCCCUAAAGCCUUGGUCUCCAUGUCCUGAGGAGCACUGGCUGAAAUGCAUUUGAACUUAUGGUGGGGCAUGUGUUUGUGCUCUCAGGAGGAAAUGAACUUUGCUUUGAAGUGAUGUUACUGGUGCCAAGUACAACAUCAACAGAGCAAAUGUAAAAAGUCUCACUGAUAUCUCUUUCUAGUCCUGGAUGAUCAUCUGAGAAGGGGAUUCCUCUCUGCAGUCAGGAACCAUAUGAGCUAACAAAUAUAAUGUUACGGAAAAACUUUGCUCACAGUCAUAGUUGGCUUGCUAUUAUGAAACCUGGUUAUACUAUUCAAUUUUCUUGGAGAAAGGUCUCAGUCUCACUGACUUUUUUUUUUGACUUUUCCUACCCUCUGUUCAGAAACUUUCAUUAUUGUAUGCAUUAAACAUCACAUGUUGCAAAAUAAGCAUGUAUAUUAAAUUAAAA
rnacentral:lncRNA from 1 species